AGUUUUCCUUUUAGACAAAGGAGAAUCUCGGAGAUGCAGGAAAUAAGAAGAUCCAAGCCCUAAAGAAUAGGAAGUUUAACUUUUCAUGAUAAACCGUCAUAAUCUUGUAUAAAUAGAGGGGUUUGUCUCUUUUUUUUCUACUGAAUAGAUCAUUGUAUUAUACUACUAGAUAAGGCCCACCUAUUUAGGCGGGUAUAAGAUACAAAAAUAAAUUUUUAUCGAUAGUAUUUGAAUUUGUAUAGUAAUCAAUAUAUUUUUCUUGAUAUUUA
rnacentral:sRNA from 1 species